GAUGAACGCUGGCGGCGUGCCUAAUACAUGCAAGUCGAGCGAACAGACGAGGAGCUUGCUCCUCUGACGUUAGCGGCAGACGGGUGAGUAACACGUGUAUAACCUACCUAUAAUACUGGGAUCAUUUCGGGAAACCGGAUCUUACACCGUAUAAUAUCUUGAACCGCAUGGUUCAAUAGUGAAAGACGGCUUUGCUGUCACUUAUAGAUGGAUCUGCGCCGCAUUAGAUAGUUGGUAAGGUAACGGCUUACCACGGCAACGAUGCGUAGCCGACCUGAGAGAGGGAUCGGCGACCCUGGAGCGGAGACGCGGACAAGACUACUAAGAGAGGCAGCAGUAGGCAAUCUGACGCAAUGGGCGAAAGCCUGACGGAGCGACGCCGCGCGAGAGAUGAAGGUCUUCGGAUCGUAAAACUCUGUUAUGAGGGAAGAACAGAUGUGUAAGGAACUAUGCACUGCUUGACGGUACCUGAUCAGAAAGCCACGGCUAACUACGUG
rnacentral:rRNA from 1 species